CUUUCGGAGCUGUGCGGCACGCUGAGCAGGAAUGGCAAUGUGGACCUCUGUGAUGGGACAUCUUGUGGGAUCUCACAGCCAGUUCUGUGGCAAAGGAGGAUGAAGGCUUACGAGGACUCGUCAGGAAGCUGGAUAACAGAACAAGUGCAAUGUGCUAGAAGACCAGAAAAUGAAAUGGUGGAGUUUGAGGCUGGAUAGACAGUUUGAAAGGGCUCCUGUGACAAGUGGACAUGCAGUGACUGUACCUUUGUUUCUGAGGUGCCUGGAUGGAGGCUCAAAUAGAAGAUGGUGUCAGAUAUAUUGUGUUGUCAAAAUUUUACCAUUAAAGUGUAUUAUAACAUGAA
ensembl:processed_transcript Gas5 growth arrest specific 5